rnacentral:lncRNA from 1 species
GUCCAUGCGAGCAGAACCCCACAGCCUGUCACCCUAUCGUCCUGGACAGCCCACUCGGGGAGGAAGGGAAGGGAAGUGACCGGGUCUCCAGGCUCUGUGUGGGACCCUUCUUAAUUUAGAAUUCCAGCUUAUGCGUUCAUUAGUUCUAUGGGAAAGAGGUGGAAGGAAACAGCGGAGGACCGAGUUUUCUCGGAUACACCCCAGACUGACUGGCUCCUUUUCUUUUUCCUUUAUCCCCCACGCUGCCCCUCCUUUCCCAUUUCAGUUUUACUCACCAUAACACACUUUGAUUUGUAAACAUAUCACAUGCCUGAGAGAGCUAAUGCAAAUAGCAUGCUACGUUUCUUCAGAGAAUUUAUUUACAAUAGCUUCAUAGAUAAAGAAAUUUGGAAAUUUAAUGAUCACAAAGUUAACACUAAUACUUACAUUUAAAUUAAGAGCUAAGAACGUUAGUGUUUAUUAUAAACUGAACAUUUAAUGGCACAUAGAAAAUGUAAUAUUCAAUUAAAACCUAAGUUGUCCUGGUUGGACAUAUUUAUUUCGAAGUCCAACACUGAAUGGCUGUUCACUUUUCUCUAUUGCCGAUUUGUCUGCUUCAGUAGGUUCUGGAUCUGGAAUUUCAAAUCUAAGAAGAAAACCAAAAGGAAAGGAAUUUGUUGAUACAUAAAUUAAAAAAAAUUAAAUACAACAGAGAAAACUAAUCAACUGAAGAUUCCAGUUUCCUAUCAUUUGAUAGAACAUACAAAUUCUAUAAAACCUUUUCUACAGUACUGCAUACAUAGAAC